rnacentral:rRNA from 1 species
GACGAACGCUGGCGGCGUGCCUAAUACAUGCAAGUCGAACGCUGAAGAGAGGAGCUUGCUCUUCUUGGAUGAGUUGCGAACGGGUGAGUAACGCGUAGGUAACCUGCCUGGUAGCGGGGGAUAACUAUUGGAAACGAUAGCUAAUACCGCAUAAAAUUGAUUAUUGCAUGAUAAUUAAUUGAAAGAUGCAACUGCAUCACUACCAGAUGGACCUGCGUUGUAUUAGCUAGUUGGUGAGGUAACGGCUCACCAAGGCGACGAUACAUAGCCGACCUGAGAGGGUGAUCGGCCACACUGGGACUGAGACACGGCCCAGACUCCUACGGGAGGCAGCAGUAGGGAAUCUUCGGCAAUGGGGGGAACCCUGACCGAGCAACGCCGCGUGAGUGAAGAAGGUUGUCGGAUCGUAAAGCUCGGUUGUAAGAGAAGAACGGGUGUGAGAGUGGAAAGUUCACACUGUGACGGUAGCUUACCAGAAAGGGACGGCUAACUACGUG